UACGGAGGGUGCGAGCGUUGUCCGGAAUCACUGGGCGUAAAGGGCGCGUAGGCGGCCUGGCAAGUCGGUGGUGAAAGCCCGUGGCUCAACUACGGGUCGGCCACCGAUACUGCUAUGGCUCGAGUUUGGUAGAGGCAGAUGGAAUUCCGGGUGUAGCGGUGGAAUGCGUAGAGAUCCGGAAGAACACCGGUGGCGAAGGCGGCCUGCUGGGCAGUGGCUGACGCUGAGGCGCGACAGCGUGGGGAGCAAACAGG
rnacentral:rRNA from 1 species